AUUGAACGCUGGCGGCAGGCCUAACACAUGCAAGUCGAGCGGAUGAAGGGAGCUUGCUCCUGGAUUCAGCGGCGGACGGGUGAGUAAUGCCUAGGAAUCUGCCUGGUAGUGGGGGAUAACGUCCGGAAACGGGCGCUAAUACCGCAUACGUCCUGAGGGAGAAAGUGGGGGAUCUUCGGACCUCACGCUAUCAGAUGAGCCUAGGUCGGAUUAGCUAGUUGGCGGGGUAAAGGCCUACCAAGGCGACGAUCCGUAACUGGUCUGAGAGGAUGAUCAGUCAGACGGGGACUGAGACACGGACGAGACGCGUACGGGAGGCAGCAGUGGGGAAUUUUGGAAAAGGGGCGAAAGCUUGAUCAAGAAAGGCCGCGUGGGGGAAGAAGGUCGUCGGAUUGUAUAGCUUUUUAGUUAGGAAAGAAAGAAAGAGCGACAAACCAUGCCGGUUAUGAGGUUACCUAAAGAGAAAGCACCGGCUAACUUGGUG
rnacentral:rRNA from 1 species